rnacentral:miRNA from 17 species
ACAUAGGGGUGAAAGCCAUGGG